UACGAAGGGUGCAAGCGUUACUCGGAAUUACUGGGCGUAAAGCGUGCGUAGGUGGUUUGUUAAGUCUGUUGUGAAAGCCCCGGGCUCAACCUGGGAAUGGCAAUGGAUACUGGCAAGCUAGAGUGCGGUAGAGGGUAGUGGAAUUCCCGGUGUAGCGGUGAAAUGCGUAGAGAUCGGGAGGAACACCAGUGGCGAAGGCGGCAUCCUGGACCAACACUGACACUGAGGAGCGAAAGCCAGGGGAGCAAACGGG
rnacentral:rRNA from 1 species